UCAAGAGUACGUGAAACCGCUUAGGGGUUAAGCCCGAUGAACCUGAAUAUCCGAAAUAAGAAAUUCAAUACCGUUAAAUUUAUUUGAUAGUAUGCACUUUUCUUAUAGUAGGACAUUGCAAUCCAUUAAAUUUAAUUUAUCAAAAGGCCUGUAUAGUAUGCUUAAUCUAUCUGCAUUAUGUUUACAUGAUGUAUGGUUAACACUAUUGCGGUGACCUGGUAAAUGUUUGAUGGUUUUAAAUAUUAAAUCAUGCCUAGCAUUUUUUAAAUGGAAUUCGGUUCUUAUAUAUUUAUAUAUUUGAAUGCAGAAUUUGCAUGUAUUUGAUUAGCAAUGCGAUAGAUUUGGGAUACCUUCGGGACCCGUCUUGAAACACGGACCAAGAAGUCUAACAUGUGUGCAAGUCAUUGGGUAUAUUGAAACCUAAAGGCGUAAUUAAAAUAACUAUUUUAAUGGGAUUACAAGUAAUCGAUAAUAAGAUUGCUUCUCCAUCCCGGGGCGUUCUAUAUUAAACAUGUUUUAAGCAAUUAGAUCCUCUGUUUAAGAGCGUACCUUGAGCAUACAUGCUGUGACCC
rnacentral:rRNA from 1 species